ACUCAAAGGAAUUGACGGGGACCCGCACAAGCGGUGGAGCAUGUGGAUUAAUUCGAUACUAACCGAAGAACCUUACCCAGGUUUGACAUCGAUUGAAAAGCUCAGAGAUGGGCUCCUCCCCCACAAGGGGACAUGAAGACACUUGUUGCAUGGCUGUCGUCAGCUCGUGCCGUGAGGUGUACGGUUAAGUCCGCCAACGAGCGCAACCCUCGUCCUGUGUUACCAGCAAGUAAAGUUGGGGACUCACAGGAGACCGCCGGUGUAAGCCGGAGGAAGGUGAGGAUGACGUCAAGUCAGCAUGGCAGUUACGCCUGGGGCUUCACACAUGCUACAAUGGGCGAAACAGAGGGCAGCAAAACCGCGAGGUGGAGCCAAUCCCAAAAAUACGCCCCCAGUUCAGAUUGCAGUCUGCAACUCGACUGCAUGAAGGCGGAAUCGCUAGUAAACGCAGGUCAGCUAUACUGCGUUGAAUACGUUCCCGGGUCUUGUACACACCGCCCGU
rnacentral:rRNA from 1 species